rnacentral:misc_RNA from 1 species
GUGAAUCAUCGAAUCUUUGAACGCACAUUGCGCCCCCUGGCAUUCCGGGGGGCAUGCCUGUCCGAGCGUCAUUUCUGCCCUCAAGCACGGCUUGUGUGUUGGGUGUGGUCCCCCUGGGGACCUGCCCGAAAGGCAGCGGCGACGUCCGUCUGGUCCUCGAGCGUAUGGGGCUCUGUCACUCGCUCGGGAAGGACCUGCGGGGGUUGGUCACCACCAUAUUUUACCACGGUUGACCUCGGAUCAGGUAGGAGUUACCCGCUGAACUUAAGCAUAUCAAUAAGCGGAGGA